UACGUAGGGGGCAAGCGUUGUCCGGAUUUAUUGGGCGUAAAGAGCGUGUAGGCGGCUUUACAGGUCCGUUGUGAAAACUCGAGGCUCAACCUCGAGACGCCGGUGGAAACCGUAAAGCUAGAGUCCGGAAGAGGAGAGUGGAAUUCCUGGUGUAGCGGUGAAAUGCGCAGAUAUCAGGAAGAACACCCGUGGCGAAGGCGGCCCUCUGGGACGGUACUGACGCUGAGACGCGAAAGCGUGGGGAGCGAACAGG
rnacentral:rRNA from 1 species